GGCUGCUGAAGGUGCUUGCAGGGAUCGACACAAACUUCACUGUCACAUCAAAAGCAGGCGAUGACGAAGGUGAUUUCUCCGAAUUGUACGUGUUUAAAUGGACGACACUACUGAUUCCUCCGACAACCGUCUUGGUGCUGAACAUGGUGGGGAUAGUCGCUGGCGUGUCUUAUGCUGUCAACAGCGGAUACCAAUCCUGGGGUCCGCUCUUUGGGAAGCUCUUCUUCGCCAUUUGGGUCAUAGUCCAUCUCUACCCGUUCCUCAAGGGUCUCUUGGGCCGACAGAACCGCACUCCAACUAUUGUUAUU
rnacentral:misc_RNA from 1 species